ACACUGAUUGUAUUCCAAUUGAGUUGGGUGGGCUGGAUGUGUAACUGGUGGGCUGUGGGGAUGCCUCAAAUAUCUGUAGAAUGAGUAAAAAGUUAUUUGUGAAAUAAGCUUAUUAUUAAUUGCUUUGACUGAUGUGUUAUCUCUUAUUCUUUGCAGGUCGCUCUGAGGUGACAGUGAUCAUCAGGACUCCUGUUCUUGUCUCACCAGUCGAGUGUGCGAGCCAUCCUAAAACUCAGUGGCUGAAGAUGAGAGCUGUCCCAUUUGCUCACGACUCUGCAGUUAGAGCUGAAUCCAACUGCGUGGCUCUUUUGCCAGCCUUACCAACGCAUCACUCGACAGCUAUGGGUCAAGCUCAGCUGAAGGUUGGCCUGACUGGGCCUCUUCCCACCCGUCUCUGAUGAUAGCUUCAUGCUUGACUCCUCCAAACAAUCUUCACAUAGAAAGCAGACAUCUUCCGUACCUCCCCAGGACUGUCAAAAACGCAGAAGCUGUCCACCCAUCACAUUCACAGUUCGAGACCAGAAAGGGACAUGUGAGGUAUGUUCCAGGAAGGGGUGUGCUUAGGGGUCAUCAGUGCGAUGAGCCACCUGUCAUAGGAGGUGAGGCACAGCAGCCAUUUAGACCUUCAGAGACAGCGAGAACCUUAGAGAUCAUCUGGUCUAACACAGUUGGGAAACCAACCAGAAGGUUCCCAUCUAGUGGGCUGUGUGCAUGCUGCAGACUCUCUUAAAGCAAUGCUUUAUCAAGAGCCAUAGUUAUUAUGAUUUUGAAAUGUUAGGGGCCUACUUCCAAUCACCAUGUCUCAGGAAUUGGGCUAUUGCUAUAUUUUAGACAAAGUGUGCUAGUUUGCCUCUGACCAAGGAGUCACUGAGUUGGGCUGAUAGAGAACAAGAGGACCACUCAUUUGAGUCCUCAUAAAGUCAAAGGAAAGAUGUUUCUAUUGCCUCAUAGUCUGGUAGGACAAAAGGUGCUUUAUGAUGUAACUGAAUAUUCUGUUUCCAUCAAAAGAUAUAGAUACCAGAUUUUAAAGAGGUUUACUAAAUCCUGGCAAAUGACAAAUUUUCUCUUAAUAUUUACUUUUUCAUACACACACACACACACACACACACACACACACACACUGGAUUACUUUGGUCAUGGUGUUAUAUGUUCCUAGGCUAGAGUGUACAUUAACAGGCUAGUUUGCUCAUGGAUUUACCUUAUUAGGAGUGUACAGUU